rnacentral:lncRNA from 1 species
AUGCACCUGAGGGAGGUUGUGACUGCCAUCAGCUACACCUUCGAAAUUUCUGGGCCCAUGAUGGAAUCCCGGCUCAUUUGCUGCCAAAAUUCAGCCGACGUUGACAAAUGGGUUCAGAACCUCCAGAACCAAAUCAAGAUGGCAAAUGCUAACUACUCAGUCAGUCCCACCAAUAACAUCUCUUUCCUGGUGCCGUGUGAUGAGCAGUGGAAGAAAAGAGAGCUGAUGAGACAUCUCUUGUGCAACACCAUUCUGAAAUGGGAAGGAAAACCAAUUCAACACCUGGGAAGGAUUCAGUAUCUGACCAUGGUGCAAAUGGCCACUGGCUGCACAGAGGAUCCCAAGGAAAGGCUGCUGAUCCUGUUUGCAGAAGACCUGCUUUUCCUCUCUGUGGAUGAGGAGAGAACUACAGUCACAUACGAGGUAACAGGAAACAGUAGAAAUGGUCAAGUGAGUACAGAACUGAGAACUGGUGAACAGCUCUGGGUGAUGAAAAUAAACAGCAGGGAGAAAAAGGAAGAACACAUUGAAAAGCAGUGUUUUCCUUUCAUUUUUGAAGGGAAAACUCCCCUUGACGGGAAUCCAGGCAAAGGAGAAAUCCACUGUGCUGGGGAGGUUACAGCUUGAAAUUACAGGAAGCCUGACAGAACCAAUCCUCAUCAAUUGUUCCACAGCAGAAGAUUAUGAAAAAUUACUCUUCCACCUACAGAAGGUACUUUUUUCAGACAAGUUUGUGACUCUCUAGUGUAUAAAUAUUUGGCAGAUAAUAUUCAUGUUAAAAAUAGUAUUUUCACAUGAUAAAAACAUGUUCUGGCUAUCUGUUCCAGCCAGAGAAAAACCUUGAUACUGUGACACUCCAGCCACCACCAAUCAUCCCUAAGAAAUCCUGGCAACAUCAUUAGGAUGCCGGCAUCCACUGACAAGAAGAGGGAACAUGAAUAUGAUCCCAACAGAAAGUGAAGAAGCUGCAAAAAUGAAUAAGAGGAAAACCAAGCUUCUUUCAGACUGAGAGGUGAAUAAGGACCUGCAGAUGAAUGGUUCUUCACUGGCUGCUGUUUUGAACGAGCCAUUGCAAUUGAUGUAGGACCUUGUGGUUCUGACCUCAGCUGUACAUAUGCCUCAACGAGAAAUCUCUCUCAAUUUGCUUGCUAUAUUUAUUGCCUGAUCCUUUUCAGAAAAAAAAGAAAAAGAAAGAAAGAAACAUUGUAAAAUACUCUGUAAGUAAUACAAAUAAAACCAUUAACCUGUGCUUAAACCA